rnacentral:lncRNA from 1 species
GGUAUAUCUGGGAGUUCAUAGGGAUUCCCCCUACACGUGGACUCAAUAUCCAAUUUAUCAAUUAACCAAUGUCCCCAUACCUCAUCCGAUAAUGGGCACUAAAUGUAUCACUGCCUCAAUACCCCAUUCGGUAUGAGGGUGAAUAUACCUCCUAACCCCUUCUGGUAUGAGACUUCUUAGCCCCGUCCGACUGAGUUAAUGUCCACGAUAAGGUUACCCUAUGCACCGGGUUUGUACACCCUUUCCCAUGAUACUCGGUAAGCCCUUUAGCAAACAUAUUCACAUCAUCUACCAGUCACCAUUCACACACAACUAACCUAUUCCAUAUUUACAGCACAAUAUAG